ACAACUAGAAGAAGGUGCAAGCAAUGUGUAACAGCACCAGCAUGGACUACCUUGCACGAGUUUAAAAAUCAUAUCCCUAUCUCGUCGUUAUGACUUUGAUAGUAUACACUCGAACGACCCUGGUACCUUGCUCACUAUAUUUUCGUUAUUGAGCAACUCCCAAACCACUUAUGGAAUUGCGAUAUAGUUAGCUACCUAUUGAUCAUACCUACCAACCUGCUUAAAAGCCCGAAAAAUGGGAUCGGUACAUCCCACGCUUUUGUGGACCAGUACACGAAUUAAACCGCCACACCAACUCGG
rnacentral:sRNA from 1 species